GUGGUAAGUACACAUACUUUCUAUAAUUUCAUAUUGAACUGUUUUGAUGACUUGUAUACUGCUAUGCAAAAUGUCUGUUUUUCAUUUCAGUAGCCUGUGGUAAGUACACUAACUUUCUAUAAUUUCAUAUUGAACUGUUUUGAUGAUUUGUAUACUGCUAUGCAUUGCUAAAUGUUUUUUUCAUUUCAGUAUAGCUGUGGUAAGUACACUAACUUUCUUUAAUUUUCAUAUUGAACUGUUUUGAUGACUUGUAUUCUGCUAUACAAAAUGUGCUUUUUUCAAUUUCAGUUCAGCAAUGGUAAGUAUAUUGUGUUUCUUUAUGUAUAAUUUUGUAUACAUAUUGUUUUUUUCAUCAUAGCAUGUUUUUUAUAUUUAUGCUUUGUGUAAGUAAAAUGUUCAUAAAUCAUUCUUAUCUUUAAACUAAAAAUGUAUUUUGAUAUGCAAAAUGUCUGUAUGAUUUCAGUUGCCAGAGGUGAGUACCAUAACAGUUGAAAAGUUAGUUUUGUUUAGUUAAAGUUUUGGUUCACAGUUUUGUUUGUUAUUUGGCAAAAUUUACAUGUAUGCAUUGAGUCUUGAUUUCAGCUCGAUUGUGGACUGAAGAAGAUUGCCAGCAGAGGGAUUGGAUACAAAAUACAAAGUAAGUACUGAGUUUCUUACUAAAAGUUUUGAGUUGUAUUCAUUGUGUGUAAAUAUGCUAUGAUUGCUAUGAACAUGACUUUUGUAUUUCAGCGAAGACAACAUAGGUAAGUAAAAUUGUUAUCUGUUUCAUGUUUACUGUUACAGUUCAAUAUUGUGUUUAUAAAUUUUAAGUUGUACAAACACAUUCAAAAGUUUCUAAUCAUGCUUUCGAUUUCAUUUCAGCUUUACUGCUAGACGAGUGUUCUCUACUACUUGACGAGUCAGCUUUACUACCAGGCGAGCAGUGACAACAAGGCGCCUUUGUGGAAACAACACAACAAAAAACUCUACUGCUAGACGAGCAGUGACAGAAAGGCGCCUGAACAUGCAACACAAUACAAAAAAUGCCAAUAUCCAAACCUUGAUGUGGACACCGAGUAGUCAAUACAUACGUGUGGCGUAUAGCUGCGACAAAACCGUGGGUCCAUCGCACCGAUAACUUGAACAUUGGCCCGUGUAUGGACAUCAGUGCAACUUUGUGAAUCCAUGUAACUUUGUGAAUCCAUGUAACAUUGCGAAUAUGUGUCGAUCAAAAAAUGUGAACAUUAUGCAAUGAAACGAACUCGGUGUUGCAAGUGGCAAGUGUUGACAGUGUGUAUGUUUAUGUUUAUGUUUUUACAUGAAAAAUAAAGGAGAUUGUUCUCCUACCUUUUUUUCCUUGUUUUAUUGUGCUGGCCAGCAAUAUUGAUGUAUUGAUGUAUGUGUUUGUGUUUAAACUAUGCAAUACCAAAAUCAAACAAAAAAUAAACAUUAACAGUCAUUAACUGUGUUUGGGCGGCCGAGGGGUUUAAGACUCCACAAGUGUGAAGCGCACUGAUAGCACUUGGGGGUAAACACCUCGGUAUUUCGGUGCUAAAAUGUUUUCACGGUGCUUAUUUUGACGCACUGUUAGAACUACCAACCAGUAAAUGAUUGCUUGAUUUAUAAAACAAAUAUUCAGUCUCUACUUUGGCACAAGAGACUCUAAGUAUCAAAUACCAACAAUUUAGACGCAGACAAUCACAUGGUGGUACACCAGUCCGAAUAUACUCAUUGCUCUAGCCAGGAUUGCAAAUUACUUGUGUUGACUAGCAAGGCUCCCUAGUAACGGAGCAGUGUUACUGGCGUUUUUUGGGUCGAUAGUGCUUAGGUGAGGUUUUGCUCGAAUCGGGAGCGGGUCACUCGCUUGGGCGAGUUAGUUUUCGCUCGUAGUUUCCAAUCUGGCUAGAUCAAUGUAAGGUUGUUUUGACUGCUAUUUGGCAAGCAGAAAGACAACAGCGGUUAAUUGACUGAGUAUGGGCGACCGAGGUAUGUAGGUGUCAAUAGACCGACUCCACAAGUUGCGAAGCGAACCGAUAGCACUUGAGGGGAAACGCCUCGGUUUUCGGUUCUAACAUGUGUUAUCCAUGCUGUCGUUAUACUCUGGCAAGGCUCCUCAAUCUAUCGCGAGGGACACUCAUUAUUGCCCGCAAGCUUUAGAACCUGACGUGGGUCGAUGCGUAUGCGAGUCCGAGGACGCGAUGGCAUUUGAUAAGGCUACCAACCGGUUGAUAACACGCAUUGUUCAAAUUGUUAGGUUUAAGUCUGCUAGGGCUGGGGUGGGAA